rnacentral:misc_RNA from 1 species
UCAUAGCCCGGAUUGCAGCAAUUGUCUGAGCUCAUUUCUUUACUCAGUCGCGGCGGCGAAGCCGCCGCGACUGAGUAAAGAAAUAGCGAGUGCGGAAAGCCGGAAAAAGC